rnacentral:rRNA from 1 species
GACGAACGCUGGCGGCGUGCCUAAUACAUGCAAGUUGAGCGAUGAAGAUUGGUGCUUGCACCAAUUUGAAGAGCAGCGAACGGGUGAGUAACGCGUGGGGAAUCUGCCUUUGAGCGGGGGACAACAUUUGGAAACGAAUGCUAAUACCGCAUAACAACUUUAAACAUAAGUUUUAAGUUUGAAAGAUGCAAUUGCAUCACUCAAAGAUGAUCCCGCGUUGUAUUAGCUAGUUGGUGAGGUAAAGGCUCACCAAGGCGAUGAUACAUAGCCGACCUGAGAGGGUGAUCGGCCACAUUGGGAAUGAGACACGGCCCAAACUCCUACGGGAGGCAGCAGUAGGGAAUCUUCGGCAAUGGACGAAAGUCUGACCGAGCAACGCCGCGGGAGUGAAGAAGGGUUUCGGAUCGUAAAACUCUGUUGGUAGAGAAGAACGUUGGUGAGAGUGGAAAGCUCAUCAAGUGACGGUAACUACCCAGAAAGGGACGGCUAACUACGUG